rnacentral:rRNA from 1 species
GACGAACGCUGGCGGCGUGCCUAAUACAUGCAAGUCGAGCGGACGAAUCGAAAGCUUGCUUUUGAUUCGUUAGCGGCGGACGGGUGAGUAACACGUGGGCAACCUGCCCUGUAGACGGGGAUAACACCGAGAAAUCGGUGCUAAUACCGGAUAACACGAAAUGUCGCAUGACGUUUCGUUGAAAGACGGCGCAAGCUGUCGUUACAGGAUGGGCCCGCGGCGCAUUAGCUAGUUGGUGAGGUAACGGCUCACCAAGGCGACGAUGCGUAGCCGACCUGAGAGGGUGAUCGGCCACACUGGGACUGAGACACGGCCCAGACUCCUACGGGAGGCAGCAGUAGGGAAUCUUCCGCAAUGGACGAAAGUCUGACGGAGCAACGCCGCGUGAGCGAAGAAGGCCUUCGGGUCGUAAAGCUCUGUUGUUAGGGAAGAACAAGUAACGCAGUAACUGGCGUUACCGUGACGGUACCUAACGAGAAAGCCACGGCUAACUACGUG